ACGAAAAGCAUGUUUGUCUAUGAACGGGGGGCGGUAGCUCACCCGGGAGAGGCAUCCAUCCCAACUUCUCACACCACACCCCCUUUGUGCACGAUCGUGAGCCAUCGCUUGGCCGAUCGCACGUGAAAUCCAUGCGACUGGCCCUGUCAUUGGUCUCGCCUUUCUUUUUAACACGCACCAUAAAGUACAUAUUAGAACGACACUUUCUCGUGUUGAUUUACUUCACACGAAACAAAUA
rnacentral:misc_RNA from 1 species